rnacentral:ncRNA from 2 species
AAUUUAAUCGUUUAUUCAGGUUCCCCGGGUUAUGCCGGGGUAAGAGGGAACCGGGUGAGAAUCCCGGACGGUCCGGCCACUGUAAGCGGGGAGCGGCUCCCAAAAUGUCACUGGGUAUUUGAAUAACCCGGGAAGACGGGGAGUGGGCAGUGAUGAUCCACGAGUCAGGAGACCUGCUUGGAUAAUGAUCAGGUG